GCAGGAGAGGCUGGCAGCACUGAAAGAGGUGGCCAGCAAACUACCAGAGGCCAAUCUCCUCCUGCUCUGGCGCUUGCGGUCACUGCUUAGCAGCAUCAGCAAGAAUGUGGCCACAGCAAAGAUGACUGCUGGGAACCUGGCCAUGUGCCUGGCACCAAACCUGCUGAGCCCACCCCAGGAGCUGCCCCUGGAUAUCCUGGCUCUGGAAACAGAGAAGGUGAUGAAGCUUGUCGAGUUCCUCAUCGACCAGCAGGAGGAAUUCAUGGGAGAGCAGGUGGCCAGGCUGGCCAGACAGGGGGAUGAGG